rnacentral:lncRNA from 1 species
AGAGAAAAACCCAACCUUCUACCCCGGAUGCCAGUUAUUGACACCCAAGGGGAGGUAUCCAGCACAUAGUUGGAUAUAUGGGAUUUGAGCUGGAAGAGAGUCAAAUACCAGGAAAAGGACCAGCUCAAACAAAAGGGAAGAAUCUGGGAAGUAAUGCUGAGUUGAUUUGAAUUGGAACUGGAGAGAAGAGAAGAAACUCAAGAUUUAAUUUUUCUGUGAGUGUGGGGUGACGUACUCUGCUGUGUAUCAUGGCAGUAUAAGUGACUGGUGAUGAAUAAAAAGUCCUUCC